AGUGAACGCUGGCGGUAGGCCUAACACAUGCAAGUCGAACGGCAGCACAGUAAGAGCUUGCUCUUACGGGUGGCGAGUGGCGGACGGGUGAGGAAUACAUCGGAAUCUACUUUUUCGUGGGGGGUAACGUAGGGAAACUUACGCUAAUACCGCAUACGACCUACGGGUGAAAGCAGUGGAUCUUCGGACCUUGCGCGAUUGAAUGAGCCGAUGUCGGAUUAGCUAGUUGGCGGGGUAAAGGCCCACCAAGGCGACGAUCCGUAGCUGGUCUGAGAGGAUGGUCAGCCACACUGGAACUGAGACACGGUCCAGACUCCUACGGGAGGCCGCAGUGGGGAAUAUUGGACAAUGGGCGCAAGCCUGAUCCAGCCAUACCGCGUGGGUGAAGAAGGCCUUCGGGUUGUAAAGCCCUUUUGUUGGGAAAGAAAAGCAGCAGGUUAAUACCCCGCUGUUCUGACGGUACCGAAAGAAUAAGCACCGGCUAACUUCGUG
rnacentral:rRNA from 1 species